rnacentral:miRNA from 1 species
CAUAGCCCGGUCGCUGGUACAUGA